GCCCGAUCGUAAACUUUAAAUUACUUCCCCCAUCGCCAGAGAACUACGAGCAAAGCUUAAAACUCAAAGGACUUGACGGUACCCCAUAUCCCCCUAGAGGAGCCUGUCCUAUAAUCGAUAAUCCCCGUUAAACCUCACCACUCCUAGCUUCUCAGCCUGUAUACCUCCGUCGUCAGCUUACCACGUGAGCGAAACUUAGUGAGCCUAAUGUCCACACGCCCACACGUCAGGUCAAGGUGCAGUAAAUGAAGUGGCAAGAGAUGGGCUACACUUUCUAAAAUAGAAUACACGAAAGACCACAUAUGAAAACUGGUCAAAAGGCGGAUUUAGUAGUAAAAGAAAACCAGAGUGUUUUUUUAAAUUCGGCACUGGGGUGUGUACACACCGCCCGUCACCCUCUUCAAAGCUCAACCCUAGUAUCUAACCACCUAGUGCCCCUCAGAAGAGGCAAGUCGUAACAUGGUAAGUAUACCGGAAGGUGUGCUUGGAAA
rnacentral:rRNA from 1 species